rnacentral:rRNA from 1 species
GACGAACGCUGGCGGCGUGCCUAAUACAUGCAAGUAGAACGCUGAAGGAGGAGCUUGCUUCUCUGGAUGAGUUGCGAACGGGUGAGUAACGCGUAGGUAACCUGCCUGGUAGCGGGGGAUAACUAUUGGAAACGAUAGCUAAUACCGCAUAAUAGUAGAUGUUGCAUGACAUUUGCUUAAAAGGUGCAAUUGCAUCACUACCAGAUGGACCUGCGUUGUAUUAGCUAGUUGGUGAGGUAACGGCUCACCAAGGCAACGAUACAUAGCCGACCUGAGAGGGUGAUCGGCCACACUGGGACUGAGACACGGCCCAGACUCCUACGGGAGGCAGCAGUAGGGGAUCUUCGGCAAUGGACGGAAGUCUGACCGAGCAACGCCGCGUGAGUGAAGAAGGGUGUCGGAUCGUAAAGCUCUGUUGUAAGAGAAGAACGAGUGUGAGAGUGGAAAGUUCACACUGUGACGGUAUCUUAACAGAAAGGGACGGCUAACUACGUG